rnacentral:rRNA from 1 species
UGGGGAAUAUUGCACAAAUGGGGGAAACCCUGAUGCAGCGACGCCGCGUGAAGGAAGAAGUAUUUCGGUAUGUAAACUUCUAUCAGCAGGGAAGAAAAUGACGGUACCUGACUAAGAAGCCCCGGCUAACUACGUGCC